AUUGUUUAUUCUAUGUUUUCAUUACACCACUUAAGUGAUAUAUCUGUUUGGAUGCUUAGUCUGGCUUUAUUUUGUUUUUUUGUUUUUUGGUUCAUGGUUUUAUUCCUUCUGAAUACAGAAUCAUAUGUUUGGGUUUGGGGUACAAAAUCGUGAUGUCUAAUUAAUUCACCAAUCCUCUUUGGGGAUCCAUUUGCUACAGGAAUUAAAAUAGAGUCGGAGGGAGGAAAAGGGAGGAAAGGUUUUUCUGUUUUAUUUUUUCAUUAUACUUCAAGUUUUCUUUUGCUACUGGCUUCAUGAAUCAUCAAACCCACGAUAAUUGUUGUGCAGGAGUUAUUGUUCUCUCAUCGUUGUUGUAGAUAGAUCGGCUGCACGUGUGGGUCUUCAACUUCUUGAGGUUUAUCAGCCUUGAAAUUUAGUAAUAUUCAUAAAAAAUUCUGUAUUGUAUUAAAUGUUGUUUGUUUCCUAACAACAAUGGGAUCAAAGAAUUUGUUUGACUACAACAGUUGAAAUGAUAAUGUGUUCUUUGCUGAGAAACAAAAGGAAGAAAAUGAAACAAAAAUAGUAAAAGAAAAAAAAAA